ACACCGUUGAAGUCUCACCAUGUAAUCCUCUUUACAGUACACAGCUCCACUGACGUUGUAAAAGUCCUUGUUCCUCAGUGUGCGUCCUGUGAGGGGGGACAGAGGACGGGUCAGCAUGGUGACACGCCGGCUCCGUGUGAAGCGCGUGUGAAGGGCGACACUCACCGCAGGACACACAGAUGAGCAAUCCUGACACGGCCGAGGCCCCGGGCCACGGUUCUGCCUUCCAGCAUUGACACUCUUUCAUCUGGCUGAUCCCCACUCCAGCUCUGGCCAUCAAGCCACUGGCGUCAGCUCUCAACUUCUUACUUGUGUAAGCGACCUAACAACUUUUUCAGCUUCUCAUGUCAAGCUUUUCAAGUCCACGUGUUUCACUUGCACCAUCGUUUUCUCUCCAGAGUUCACGGCGGAUCACACAUAUUUCAUUGUUACAUCACAUCAGUCUUAAGACAGGCCAGUUAUAUGAAGACACAUCUCCAGGCAAGGGAAGACAAGAACCUGUCUACAAGCCAAGUAACCUGUGACCUGACUCUUGCUAUUAAACCAAAGUGAAAUGUAUUUGAAACCACUAUUUGUGAGCAGUAUGUUGGUCACUUCUCUUACUGGUCUUUACUUUCGGUAAGUGAGAAUCAUUGGUAGAGAAAACAAAUUACACAAAUAUAAAAGGAGUUUUUGCCAAACAAGGAGCAACAGACACUGAAGUUCAUUAACAUUUCUGUUCAAUACCUACAGACAAAUUACGGGAACCUAACCUUCAGUUGCACAAACUAGAAUCUAGUCAGUCCUUAAUAUCAAUAUCCUAAUCUAUAGCUUUCCUCAAUGCCUCAUGCAUGUAUUUAGUGACUUAAACAAUAUUUGAAAAACAUUUUACAACCAGUGGUAGCAGGUUAUCUCAACCAAGAAAGCUCAGGGCAGAGAGGUACAGACCAAAAGUUCCAUUAUCAUACAUUAUCAAAUGACUCCAACCAACGUCAAUUUGCCAAACAUUCUCCAGGAGAUGGUCCUGGGUGGGCAUCACCAGAGGAAGCUGUCCCUUGUGAGAUGGUUGCCCAUGAGAGACAUGUUCAGAGUGGUAGAGAAGGUGGACCUCUAACUGUCAGCAGAGACCAGACAAACACGACAGUGGUCUUCAAGAGGAGCCUGAGA